ensembl:lncRNA
GGUCGCCGUUUUGGCCUUUGUUCGGCCAUGAGUUUGGUUUAGGGGUUCCUCAGUGUAGAGGAAUUGUGGGACCUGAACUUGUGAGACCCAAAACUAGUCUGGGAGGCCACUUUGCAGGAGGCAAGUAAUGAAAACUCGGGGGCCUAUGACUGUGGUGAUAGUAGGGAGAGGGAGAAACUGGAUUCAGGAUUUUGUGUCUAUGUAACAUAAUUUCAUUGAGUAUCACCGUGUGUAUGAUUGUAUCUUGGAAAAUAAUCUCUGAGCCUCAUUGUAAAACGGUAACAAGAAGGGUAGAUUUUCCUUGAAGUAUUUUUGUGGUUAUUGUUAAGGUUUGAUGGAACAAAGAUUACGUUACUGAGCUAAGGCAAUGGCAACCCACUCCAGUACUCUUGCCUGGAAAAUCCCGUGGACAGGAACCUGGUAGGCUGCAGUCCAUGGGGUCACUAAGAGUCGGACACAACUGAGCGACUUCACUUUCACGUUUCACUUUCAUGCAUUGGAGAAGGAAAUGGCAAUCCACUCCAAUGUUCUUGCCUGGAGAAUCCCAGGAAUGGGGGAGCCUGAUGGGCUGCCGUCUGUGGGGUCGCACAGAGUCGGACACGACUAAAGUGACUUAGCAGCAACUGAGCUAAUAAAUGAUUUAAAGCUUGACUUUCAUGUAAAACAAAUUAUCGAUUAUGGGUUAGAAAUAAAAGCGCUUUCUUUAGAAAGUCAGUUUGAAAGUGACUAUUUUCCUUUCUUUUUUAAGUAGAGUGUUUGCUCUUGCUUACAGCCCAGACCCUGGGGUCAAAGAGCUGAUUUGUGAAGUGCUGGACUAAGAAAUAAAAUUUGAUGGGCAGUAUCGGCCAUUGAAAACAGAAGAGAACUGAAUUGUUCACAGGCUAAGUCCUGUCCGACUCUUUGCGACCGCAUGGACUGCAGCACACUAGCCUCCUCUCUCCUUCACUAUCUCCUGGAAUUUGUUCAAAGUAUUUCUUCUCAAUUUUUGGGAGGAGUUUGAGAAAUAUUGACAUUAUUUCUUUAAAUGUUUGGUAGAAUUUUCCAGGAGUCUUUUCUCUAUUUUUCUUUAUCUAGCUCAAGUUUUAUCAAUUUUGUUUUAAAAAAAAAAAAAGGCUCUUGAUUUUGUUGACCCCCCCCCCUUUUUGGGGAAGGGGGGCUCUUUAUUUACUCUGUCUUUAUUAUAAUUUCCUUCCUCCUGGGCUUAAUUAAUUUGUUCUUCUAAUUCUGGAGUUGUGACAUUAUUUGAAACUCCUGUCUUUCUGUGAAAGACACUUAUUUGCUCAUCUCAAAAGCUGUGGCCUGGGACUUCCCUAGUUCUCCAGUGGUUAAGACUCUGCAGUCCCAGUGCAUGGGGUGUGGGUUUGAUCCCUGGUUAGGGAAUUAAGAUCCCACAUGAAGGGGAAAAAAGUAAGAGAAUAUCACUGUAAUAUCCCUACCUUUUUCAUCUUUUAAAAUAUAAAGAUACGUUAAAGUUAUUUUAAGAAAAAAAGAUCCCAUAUGUUGCACAGUGCUGCCUAAGAAAAAGGGAAAAGAAAAAAAAAAGCUGUGGCUUCAGGGGCAUGCUUCUCAUUUAACACAUAUCCAGAGGGUAACUGCAACUCUCCCUAGAGACUAGCUCACCAGGUGGCCCCAUCCUUACACUCUCCCUCUGCCCCUGCACUUUCCUGGUGGCUGACAGUAAAGCAUCUGUCCACAAUGUGGGAGACCCGGGUUCGAUCCCUGGGUCGGGAAGAUCCCCUGGAGAAGGAAAUGGCAAUCCAC